CUGUGGGUCAGAGAUGAGUUGUUCGUUUGUUGAUCAUUUUAUUUGGAGUCAUUUAAGAGAAGGAGAGUUCGGUGACAAAUGGAUUAGCUACAAUGCCUAGCAGAUUAUUGCACAAACUCUAGGAAAAAGAGUUUGAAGAUAUGUCAUUUUUUUCGAGACAAAAAAACGAAAAAUUUAGGCUGAAAACACAGGAUGACAAGACUGAACUCUGUCUAAUACUUCAGUGUUAUGUGAGAUAUAUUUUAAUGCAGAAAUGUGGACUGAAUCGAAAAUUAGAAACGGCAAGGGUAUUCUGAAAAAAAUGCUAUUCCAACUGUUUCGUGGACUCGUACUUCAGAAUACACAGAAAGGUGUAUAUAGGAUGUAUUGAUUUAUUAUUUUGUAUUAUUAUGCAAUUCUAUUGUCACUGAUAAUGUUUUGGAUGUAAAUUGACAAAUUGUAUAUCGUAUAAUA
rnacentral:lncRNA from 1 species